rnacentral:rRNA from 1 species
CAGUAGCCGCGGGAAUACGUAGGUGGCAAGCGUUGUCCGGAAUUAUUGGGCGUAAAGGGCUCGCAGGCGGUUUCUUAAGUCUGAUGUGAAAGCCCCCGGCUCAACCGGGGAGGGUCAUUGGAAACUGGGAAACUUGAGUGCAGAAGAGGAGAGUGGAAUUCCACGUGUAGCGGUGAAAUGCGUAGAGAUGUGGAGGAACACCAGUGGCGAAGGCGACUCUCUGGUCUGUAACUGACGCUGAGGAGCGAAAGCGUGGGGAGCGAACAGGAUUAGAUACUCCUGUAGUCCCUGUCUCUUAUAC